GCGCGGGUGGCGAAAUGGCAGACGCACUACCUUGAGGUGGUAGCGCCGCGAGGCGUGCUGGUUCAAGUCCAGUCCCGCGCA
rnacentral:tRNA from 1 species